rnacentral:rRNA from 1 species
AUGCAAGUCGUACGCUUCUUUUUCCACCGGAGCUUGCUCCACCGGAAAAAGAAGAGUGGCGAACGGGUGAGUAACACGUGGGUAACCUGCCCAUCAGAAGGGGAUAACACUUGGAAACAGGUGCUAAUACCGUAUAACAAUCGAAACCGCAUGGUUUUGAUUUGAAAGGCGCUUUCGGGUGUCGCUGAUGGAUGGACCCGCGGUGCAUUAGCUAGUUGGUGAGGUAACGGCUCACCAAGGCCACGAUGCAUAGCCGACCUGAGAGGGUGAUCGGCCACAUUGGGACUGAGACACGGCCCAAACUCCUACGGGAGGCAGCAGUAGGGAAUCUUCGGCAAUGGACGAAAGUCUGACCGAGCAACGCCGCGUGAGUGAAGAAGGUUUUCGGAUCGUAAAACUCUGUUGUUAGAGAAGAACAAGGAUGAGAGUAACUGUUCAUCCCUUGACGGUAUCUAACCAGAAAGCCACGGCUAACUACGUGCCAGCAGCCGCGGUAAUACGUAGGUGGCAAGCGUUGUCCGGAUUUAUUGGGCGUAAAGCGAGCGCAGGCGGUUUCUUAAGUCUGAUGUGAAAGCCCCCGGCUCAACCGGGGAGGGUCAUUGGAAACUGGGAGACUUGAGUGCAGAAGAGGAGAGUGGAAUUCCAUGUGUAGCGGUGAAAUGCGUAGAUAUAUGGAGGAACACCAGUGGCGAAGGCGGCUCUCUGGUCUGUAACUGACGCUGAGGCUCGAAAGCGUGGGGAGCAAACAGGAUUAGAUACCCUGGUAGUCCACGCCGUAAACGAUGAGUGCUAAGUGUUGGAGGGUUUCCGCCCUUCAGUGCUGCAGCUAACGCAUUAAGCACUCCGCCUGGGGAGUACGACCGCAAGGUUGAAACUCAAAGGAAUUGACGGGGGCCCGCACAAGCGGUGGAGCAUGUGGUUUAAUUCGAAGCAACGCGAAGAACCUUACCAGGUCUUGACAUCCUUUGACCACUCUAGAGAUAGAGCUUCCCCUUCGGGGGCAAAGUGACAGGUGGUGCAUGGUUGUCGUCAGCUCGUGUCGUGAGAUGUUGGGUUAAGUCCCGCAACGAGCGCAACCCUUAUUGUUAGUUGCCAUCAUUCAGUUGGGCACUCUAGCAAGACUGCCGGUGACAAACCGGAGGAAGGUGGGGAUGACGUCAAAUCAUCAUGCCCCUUAUGACCUGGGCUACACACGUGCUACAAUGGGAAGUACAACGAGUCGCGAAGUCGCGAGGCUAAGCUAAUCUCUUAAAGCUUCUCUCAGUUCGGAUUGUAGGCUGCAACUCGCCUACAUGAAGCCGGAAUCGCUAGUAAUCGCGGAUCAGCACGCCGCGGUGAAUACGUUCCCGGGCCUUGUACACACCGCCCGUCACACCACGAGAGUUUGUAACACCCGAAGUCGGUGAGGUAACCUUUUGGAGCCAGCCGCCUAAGGUGGGAUAGAUGAUUGGGGUGAAGU